UAAUAAUAAUAAUAGGAACGUAGAGAGGGACAAAGAGAAAGAGUUCAGACUAUUUCACCUCUCAAUGUGCCUCAUGGUGUGGUGGCAGGUAACUCAUAUCUGGAUUGAAGCAGAUUGUGCACAGCCUAUCUCUGUUCAGCCGGGGCCUCAUGGGUUGGUUGACAGGCUACGGGUAUUUAAGCAGAGGGAGCUGUGUUGGGCCUUUCUUGUAGGGGCAGGGUUCUGAGCCCCCACCAAGUUCAAAGGUAGGCAGAAUAUCUUAAGAGAAUGCCCUGAAGACAUUGAUUUAGAGUUAGGUUAGGAUAGCAAGGAUGUUCAUAAAUAGAGAGAGAGAAUGUGCAAUGAGAGAUGGAUUGAAGAUAAAGUACUGAGCAUAAAUUGGAUAAAAUGAGGUAUAGCAAGGAUGUUCAUAAAUAGAGAGAGAGAAUGUGCAAUUAAAAAGUAAGAUUAAAAAGUACUGAGCAUAAAUUGUAUAAAAUAAGGUUGAGGAAGGAGAUGAGCAAGUUCUGGUUCACAAAUUGGUUAGUGAAUGAUUGAAACAAGUUAAGUAGAUCAAAAAAAUUAUGUAGAUUAUGCAAACACCAUUGAAUGUUUUAAAUAGGGGAGGUUAGAUUGAUAUUUGGAUGGGAAAGGAAAGCUUCAGAAUAACAUCUUUAGGAGCUAGGACUGUAAGUAAUUUCCACACAGUUGUAAGUUUUAAAAAGGGGAGGUUACAUUGAUAUUUGGAUGGGAAAGGGAAGCUUCAGAAUAACAUCUUUAGGAGCAAGGAGUGUAAGUAAUUCCCACACAAAUGUAAGUUUUAAAAAGGGGAGGUUAGACUGAUAUUUGAAUGGGAAAGGAAGCUAUUCGACAACACACAUUUUCAAGAGAUAUUACAUGUAGCACUGUCUGUUAUCAAGCGAGUAUACAUGAUGUGUAGGAACCUGGUGAGUGCCAAUGUUCACUUGUCAAUAAAUGGUAUAAAUAUGUCUGAUAGAAUAAGGUUGAGGAAGGAGAUAGACAAGAACUGGGUCACAAACAGGGUAAUGAAUAAGUGGAACAAGUAAAGCAGAUAAAAAAAUAUAUAUAGUUGAUGAAACCACAAUUGAAGGUUUUAAAUAGGGGAGGUUAGAUUAGAUUGAUUUUUGGAUAGGAAGAGAAGUCAAUUUUAGGGUAGGAAGGGAAGCAUUUUCAAUAGAUAUCACAUGUAGCACAGUGUUAUCAAGCGAGUAUACAUGGUGUGUGUGAACCUGACGAGUGCCAAUGUACAGUAGUCAAGAAAUGGAUGAGUGUUAGUUUAAAAGAGUCAAUAAAAGAUGCUUGAUGUCUUCCUCCAAUGCAGGUACGUACCCUUAAGAUUAAGAGUAGAUUUGACAAGCUUUUGAUGUUGUGCUUAUUGUUGCUUUGUGCUUGAGGGGUAGUCGUAGGCCUGUAUCAUGUCCCUGGAGGUUAUCAGAUAUUACGGACACCUACAGUUGAUUUUCAUGAAUGCUCUUUGUUUUAUCAAGGGAAUCUAGGGAAUCUGUUACUGUAGUUUGUAUUGCAAACCUGGAUGUACAGUUUUCAUUCAAUAUAUCACAUCUGAAUGAAUAUAUUACAGCUUUCAUGGUAAUCUACACUCUUUUAAAGGUUGAUUUUUGCAGUAUUUCUCUUUCUGGAAACUGAAUAUGCUAAGAUUUAUUUUUCUUGAGGGUUAAAAAGCAUGAUUUCUCAAUUUCUCAUAUUCAGUUUGUAGCGGCAAAGUGUGCAAUAUUCUGUUUUGAAAGGUUACACCCCACCUUCACUAAACUGGGCAUUUGUAGCGAAGGAAACAAAUGGAACUGAUGGUGACGGUGUGUCUUUCAGGAGGCAAAGGAACUGACGAUAACUAUGAGCCAAUAAUGAACAAAGAAAUUUAAGAUAAGACGAUAAUUAGUUUGUAUAGGAGCAGUGAUUACUAGGUCUUUUUGUAUUUAUUUAUUUUUUCACAUUGAGUUGCUUCCUUUACUGUAAAAAAUACUUCUACGUUCAUUUUAAAUAUCACACCAAUAGAAAGUCCAAGGCUGGAAAGAGAAUUUUUAAAGAGGGAACAUUUCUUGAGGAAGGGAUGUUGCUGUGAGGAUUAAUAUAUUCAGUCGUCCCUCAAAUAGUACGGUUUCCAAUAGUUCGGUUUCAUUUUUAUACGUAUUGUCAUAGAAGAUCUUUUAGGAUUUUAAAAUUUUCUGCUCGUCGGAAAAUUUUAAAAUCCUAAAAAAUCUUCUUUGUAAAUCCACAUAAAACCAAAACUGAACUAUUGGAAACCAUACUAUUUGAGGGAUGACUACUCACAGCUUGUAAUCCUUGACAGCAUACCAGCAACUUGAUUUCCAUGUCAUUAUUUUUUAUCAUACCUUUAGUCCUUUACCAGAGCUCUGUGGUAUGUGUUUUACUUGUGAUAGCUCAUUGCAGGGUUGACUAGUUAAGCAAUGAACACUUGAGAACAUAACCCAAUUCAAAGAAGGAAACCAGAUACUUCUAAAGGAGGGUAUCAGGACACCUCUCCUCCUGAAAUUGAUCUAUCUUUCGGCCACUCCUCUAACUCUUUUUAGGUGCAGUGAGUAGUGGGCUUUUUUUUCCCAUUAUUGUUUCCUUUUUUUUAUGCCCUAGAACUGACUGCUGUAAAAAAAAAAAAAAGGGCUGAAUAAGGCUUUGUAAUCAGAAAAAAAGUCCAAUUCAUUGAGACCAUUAACCAGUUUGAAGAAGGAAGCCGGACAUUUCUAAGGCUGGAUAAGGAUAUUGGAGAGGGAAAAAAAAUGCCCAGUUUAGUAAGGGUUCCCUAUAUACAUACAUCUUAUCCUAUGUUAGUCAGUCUGCAUGGUAAAAGAAUGCCCUGUUUAGUAAAGGUUCCCUAUAUACAUACAUCUUAUCCUAUGUUAGUCAGUCUGCAUAGUAAAAGAAUGCCCUGUUUAGUAAAGGUUCCCUAUAUACAUACAUCUUAUCCUAUGUUAGUCAGUCUGCAUGGCAAAAGAAUGCCCUGUUUAGUAAGAGUUCCCUAUAUACAUACAUCUUAUCCUAUGUUAGUCAGUCUGCAUGGUAAAAGAAUGCCCUGUUUAGUAAGAGUUCCCUAAAUACAUACAUCUUAUCCUAUGUUAGUCAGACUGCAUAAUAAAAAAAAAUGCCCAGUUUAUUAAAGGUUCCCUAUACUACAUCUUUUGCAAUUUUACAGAGUCUGCAUUUUGUUCGUUCAUAUGAGUCAGUUGUUUUGUUGUUUCCGUGUAGCCGUUUGUCACACUCAACACAUUUCA